rnacentral:rRNA from 1 species
AUUGAACGCUGGCGGCAUGCCUUACACAUGCAAGUCGAACGGUAACGCGGGGCAACCUGGCGACGAGUGGCGAACGGGUGAGUAAUGUAUCGGAACGUGCCCAGUUGUGGGGGAUAACUGCUCGAAAGAGCAGCUAAUACCGCAUACGACCUGAGGGUGAAAGCGGGGGAUCGCAAGACCUCGCGCAAUUGGAGCGGCCGAUAUCAGAUUAGGUAGUUGGUGGGGUAAAGGCUCACCAAGCCAACGAUCUGUAGCUGGUCUGAGAGGACGACCAGCCACACUGGGACUGGGACACGGCCCAGACUCCUACGGGAGGCAGCAGUGGGGAAUUUUGGACAAGGGACGCAAGUCUGAUCCAGCCAUGCCGCGUGCGGGAAGAAGGCCUUCGGGUUGUAAACCGCUUUUGUCAGGGAAGAAACGCUCUGGGUUAAUACCUCGGGGUAAUGACGGUACCUGAAGAAUAAGCACCGGCUAACUACGUGCCAGCCGCCGCAGUAAAAC